CUUUGAGUCCUUUGAUUGUUGGGGUGGUUCAAAUGCUCUGGAGUAGGGGUUCCAGGGAUAGGGCAAAUAGAAGGGGGACGGUGGGCAGCCCUGGCGUGUCCUGUUUUGGAUGGUGAAUUCUGGUGCUUUUGUGUUUGGUAUGAGAAAGGUAGCUGUUGGGUGAUCAUAGAGAGUUUUUAGAGCCAUAAUAAAGGGUUCUGGGAAGUGGAAUUUUCGAUGGACAGGGAAGAGAAAAGGCCAGAGCAGGCAAUCAAAUGCCUUUUCGGCAUCCAUUGAUAGAAGA